rnacentral:misc_RNA from 1 species
AACUUUUGGCAAUGGAUCACUUGGUUCUGGCAUCGAUGAAGAACGCAGCGAAAUGCGAUAAGUAAUGCGAAUUGCAGAAUUCCAGUGAGUCAUCGAAUCUUUGAACGCACAUUGCGCCCUUUGGUAUUCCGAAGGGCAUGCCUGUUCGAGCGUCAUUAUCACCCCUCAAGCCCCUGGCUUGGUGUUGGACGGUUUGGUGGAGGUCCCCUCGGGGGCUCCUGCCCCUCCCAAAGACAAUGACGGCGGCCUCGUUGGACCCCCGGUACACUGAGUUCUUCACGGGACACGUAUCGGACACAUGGGUUUACGGGACACGGUCUGCCUCCCCUCAGGGAGAAUCUUUCUAAGGUUGACCUCGGAUCAGGUAGGGAUACCCGCUGAAUUUAAGCAUAUCAAUAAGCGGAGGCU